rnacentral:rRNA from 1 species
GUGGGGAAUAUUGGACAAUGGGCACAAGCCUGAUCCAGCCAUGCCGCGUGAGUGAUGAAGGCCCUAGGGUUGUAAAGCUCUUUCACCGGAGAAGAUAAUGACGGUAUCCGGAGAAGAAGCCCCGGCUAACUUCGUGCCAGCAGCCGCGGUAAUACGAAGGGGGCUAGCGUUGCUCGGAAUCACUGGGCGUAAAGCGCACGUAGGCGGCUUUCUAAGUCAGGGGUGAAAUCCUGGAGCUCAACUCCAGAACUGCCUUUGAUACUGGAGAGCUUGAGUUCGGGAGAGGUGAGUGGAACUGCGAGUGUAGAGGUGAAAUUCGUAGAUAUUCGCAAGAACACCAGUGGCGAAUGCGGCUCACUGGCCCGAUACUGACGCUGAGGUGCGAAAGCGUGGGGAGCAAACAGGAUUAGAAACCCUGGUAGUCC